AGUUUUCUAAACUCCCAAACCCUUGAGAACAUACCUUGGUUGCCUCGGCGGAAGCGCCGCCCUGGGAUGGCCUACCCUGUAGCGUCUUACCCCGAGCGGAGCCCCCCGCCGGUGGUCUUCUAAACUCUGUUUUAUUGUGUCACCUCUGAGGAUUAUUAUAAAAUCAGUUAAAACUUUCAACAACGGAUCUCUUGGUUCUGGCAUCGAUGAAGAACGCAGCGAAAUGCGAUAAGUAAUGUGAAUUGCAGAAUUCCGUGAAUCAUCGAAUCUUUGAACGCACAUUGCGCCCAUUAGUAUUCUAGUGGGCAUGCCUGUUCGAGCGUCAUUUCAACUCAUCAAGCUUUAUUUUUGCUUGGCGUUGGGAGAACGCGGGGCCCUGGAGCCCCGCGCCUCCUCAAAUCCAUCGGCGGAGUCGUGGCGACCCAAGCGUAGUAAUUCUUUCUCGCUUCAGGUGUUUUGCUGCUGGCGUCUAGCCGCUAAACCCUCUAUUUCUUUUUAGGUUUGACCUCGGAUCAGGUAGGAAUACCCGCUGAACUUAAGCAUAUCAAUAAGCGGAGGAAAAGAAACCAACAGGGAUUGCCCUAGUAACGGCGAGUGAAGCGGCAACAGCUCAAAUUUGAAAUCUGGCCCUCGGGUCCGAGUUGUAAUUUGUAGAGGAUGCUUUUGGUGCGGUGCCUUCCGAGUUCCUUGGAACAGGACGCCUUAGAGGGUGAGAGCCCCGUACGGUUGGACACUAAGCCUCUGUAAAGCUCCUUCGACGAGUCGAGUAGUUUGGGAAUGCUGCUCUAAAUGGGAGGUAAAUUUCUUCUAAAGCUAAAUACCGGCCAGAGACCGAUAGCGCACAAGUAGAGUGAUCGAAAGAUGAAAAGUACUUUGAAAAGAGGGUUAAAUAGCACGUGAAAUUGUUGAAAGGGAAGCGUUUAUGACCAGACCUUCGUCGGGCGGAUCAUCCGGUGUUCUUCACCGGUGCACUUCGCCCGGCUUAGGCCAGCAUCGGUUUUCGCAGGGGGACAAAGGCCCCGGGAACGUAGCUCCCUCCGGGGAGUGUUAUAGCCCGGGACGUAAUACCCUUGCGGGGACCGAGGUCGCG
rnacentral:rRNA from 1 species